UACGUAGGCAGCAAGCGUUGUUCGGAAUUACUGGGCGUAAAGAGUGUGUAGGCGGUGUUCUAAGUCUGUUGUGAAAUCUCCCGGCUUAACUGGGAGGGUGCGGCGGAGGCUGGAAUGCUAGAGUGUGGGAGAGGUAAGCGGAAUUCCUGGUGUAGCGGUGAAAUGCGUAGAUAUCAGGAGGAACACCUGUGGUGUAGACAGCUUACUGGACCACGACUGACGCUGAGACACGAAAGCGUGGGUAGCAAACAGG
rnacentral:rRNA from 1 species